UACGUAGGGUGCAAGCGUUAACCGGAAUUACUGGGCGUAAAGCGUGCGCAGGCGGUUUUGUAAGUCUGUCGUGAAAGCCCCGGGCUCAACCUGGGAAUUGCGAUGGAGACUGCAAGGCUUGAAUCUGGCAGAGGGGGGUAGAAUUCCACGUGUAGCAGUGAAAUGCGUAGAGAUGUGGAGGAACACCGAUGGCGAAGGCAGCCCCCUGGGUCAAGAUUGACGCUCAUGCACGAAAGCGUGGGGAGCAAACAGG
rnacentral:rRNA from 1 species